CCCAGACUCCUACGGGAGGCAGCAGUGGGGGAUAUUGCACAAUGGGGGGAACCCUGAUGCAGCGACGCCGCGUGGGUGAAGGAGCGUUUCGGCGCGUAAAGCCCUCUCGGCAGGGAAGAAGGAGGACGGUACCUGACUAAGAAGCCCCGGCUAACUACGUGCCAGCAGCCGCGGUAAUACGUAGGGGGCCAGCGUUAUCCGGAUUUACUGGGUGUAAAGGGGGCGCAGACGGCAGCGCAAGCCAGGAGUGAAAGCCCGGGGCCCAACCCCGGGACUGCUCUUGGAACUGCGCGGCUGGAGUGCAGGAGGGGCAGGCGGAAUUCCUGGUGUAGCGGUGAAAUGCGUAGAUAUCAGGAGGAACACCGGUGGCGAAGGCGGCCUGCUGGACUGCGACUGACGUUGAGGCCCGAAAGCGUGGGGAGCAAACAGGAUUAGAUACCCGAGUA
rnacentral:rRNA from 1 species